rnacentral:rRNA from 1 species
UACAGAGGGGGCAAGCGUUGUUCGGAAUUACUGGGCGUAAAGGGCGCGUAGGCGGCCUGCUAAGUCGAACGUGAAAUCCCUCGGCUCAACCGAGGAACUGCGUCCGAUACUGGCGGGCUCGAAUCCGGGAGAGGGAUGUGGAAUUCCAGGUGUAGCGGUGAAAUGCGUAGAUAUUGGGAGGAACACCAGUGGCGAAGGCGGCUCACUGGACCGGAACUGACGCUGAGGCGCGAAAGCGUGGGGAGCAAACAGG